rnacentral:lncRNA from 11 species
CUGUUUCCUGAAACCCAAGCAGAUGAUUCAUUUCUCUGUUUCCAUACUGGUGGAUUCCUACGCAUACCAAAAAUGGGAAAGUGAAGCACCAAGAUGUCAAGCACUGUAGAAAGUAAAGGUAAAGUAAAGACUUUCCCCUUACAUUAAGUCCAGUCGUGACUGACUCUGGGGGUUGGUGCUCAUCCCCAUUUCUAAGCCGAAGAGCCGGCGUUGUCCGUAGACACCUCCAAGGUCAUGUGGCCGGCAUGACUGCAUGGAGCGCCGCUACCUUCCCGCCAG